GAGACACUCUUAUGGGGCAGGACUUGCUUCAGUGGGGCUUUGGCACUCACUGAGUCUGCCCCCUGAGUGUCUCUCU
rfam:Myotis lucifugus cont2.8105, whole genome shotgun sequence.